UAGGGAAUAUUGCAUAAUGGGCGAAAGCCUGAUGCAGCAACGCCGCGUGCGCGAUGAAGGCCUUCGGGUCGUAAAGCGCUUUUCGAGGGGAUGAGGAAGGACAGUACCCUCGGAAUAAGUCUCGGCUAACUACGUGCCAGCAGCCGCGGUAAAACGUAGGAGGCGAGCGUUAUCCGGAUUUACUGGGCGUAAAGCGCGUGCAGGCGGCUUGGAAAGUUGGCUGUGAAAGCUCCCGGCUUAACUGGGAGAGGUCGGUCAAGACUUCCAGGCUUGAGGAUGGUAGAGGGAGGUGGAAUUCCGGGUGUAGUGGUGAAAUGCGUAGAUAUCCGGAGGAACACCAGUGGCGAAAGCGGCCUCCUGGACCAUUUCUGACGCUCAGACGCGAAAGCUAGGGGAGCAAACGGG
rnacentral:rRNA from 2 species